rnacentral:rRNA from 1 species
UGGGGAAUAUUGGACAAUGGAGGAAACUCUGAUCCAGCAAUUCUGUGUGUGUGAAGAAGGUUUUAGGACUGUAAAACACUUUUAGUAGGGAAGAAAAAAAUGACGGUACCUACAGAAGAAGCAACGGCUAAAUACGUGCCAGCAGCCGCGGUAAUACGUAUGUUGCGAGCGUUAUCCGGAAUUAUUGGGCUUAAAGGGCAUCUAGUCGGUAAGACAAGUUGAAGGUGAAAACCUGUGGCUCAACCAUAGGCUUGCCUACAAAACUGUUGAACUAGAGUACUGGAAAGGUGGGUGGAACUACACGAGUAGAGGUGAAAUUCGUAGAUAUGUGUAGGAAUGCCGAUGAUGAAGAUAACUCACUGGACAGAAACUGACGCUGAAGUGCGAAAGAUAGGGGAGCAAACAGG